rnacentral:misc_RNA from 1 species
GCUCUUUAUUCCCAGAUUCAGUAAAAUAGUUUAGUCAGUCUCUCCAUUGAUUAUUGAGAAGUUCGGAGUAUAGUAUAAUGAGAUAUAUUUGAAUUGGCAACGAUUCGCGCGGGGUCGAUGUGAACCGUUCGGAAAUGGUAACAAAUUAAACCGGCGCCAGCGUUCACUGAACGUUGGCUUCAGUCAACGAUGGCAGCUUCGAGAGCCUGGUAUACGGCAGCCAACGCUUCACGCCUGGCGCUCAAGAACUCGAGCCAUCUUUGUUUACGUCCGAGUCUUGCGGACGUUCUUCGUUAUUAAAAAUACGUUACAGAUAUACAGGGGCAUUGAAACGAAAGUUGAAGGUUGCAUUAGGAUUUAUUUAAUCAACGACCCGUUUGGACUGCAGUAUACCGGUCUUUGCAAAAUCGUAGGGGAGAAGGGCAAAGUCUCGAAUAAAUGGCCCACGAACAUUAUGGUAGCCCGAAUUUAGUCAUAUUUUUUUCUACACGAAUUAUAAAUAUUCCGAAUUUUCUGCGAGUUUGGGCCAGAGGUCAUUCAUAUAAAUGAUAUGAAAAGAAACACACGAAAAGAGGACCAACUGAUCGAGCGAUGGCUAAUUUCGUCACAGAUGGAUCAAUUCGGAAUGGAUACCACAGUUUAUCACAUCAGUAAAUAGGAGGAAGAUUUCAGCCCCCCCACGACUCCGAAUCGAUGUUGAAACGGAAACAGGACGUUUCAACC